CCUACGGGGAGCAGCAGUGGGGAAUAUUGGGCAAUGGAGGCAACUCUUACCCAGCAAUGCCGCGUGAAUGAAGAAGGUCUUCGGAUUGUAAACUUCUAUCAAUAGGGAAGAAAGAAAUGACGGUACCUAAAUAAGAAGCCCCGGCUAACUACGUGCCAGCAGCCGCGGUAAUACGUAGGGGGCAAGCGUUAUCCGGAAUUACUGGGUGUAAAGGGAGAGUAGGCGGCAAGGUAAGCGAUAUGUGAAAGCCUUAAGCUUAACUUAAGGAUGGCAUAACGAACUAUCUAGCUAGAGUACAGGAGAGGAAAGCGGAAUUCCUAGUGUAGCGGUGAAAUGCGUAGAUAGUAGGAAGAACACCAGUGGCGAAGGCGGCUUUCUGGACUGAAACUGACGCUGAGGCUCGAAAGCGUGGGGAGCGAACAGGAUUAGAUACCCCAGUAGUC
rnacentral:rRNA from 1 species